rnacentral:sRNA from 1 species
GCCGGGUGCAGUGGGGCGCGCCUGUAAUCCCAGUGGCGUGGGAGGCCAAGGCAGAAGGAUCGCAAUUUCAAAGCCAGCCUCAGCAACUUGGCAAGGCCCUAAGCAACUUAGUGAGAAUCUGUCUCAA